rnacentral:rRNA from 1 species
UACGUAGGUGGAGCGUUGUUCGGAUUUAUUGGGCGUAAAGGGUCCGCAGGGGGUUGAUUAAGUUUGACGUGAAAUCCCGGAGCUUAACUCCGGAACUGCGUUGAAGACUGGUUGACUAGAGUGCUGGAGAGGUAAUUGGAAUUCCAGGUGUAGCGGUGGAAUGCGUAGAUAUCUGGAAGAAUGUCGAUAGCGAGGGCAGAUUACUGGACAGCAACUGACCCUCAGGGACGAAAGCAUGGGGAGCAAACAG